CACGUAGGGGGCGAGCGUUGUCCGGAUUUAUUGGGCGUAAAGAGCUCGUAGGCGGCUCCGUAAGUGAGGUGUGAAAACUCCAGGCUCAACCUGGAGACGCCACCUCAUACUGCGGUGGCUAGAGUCCGGUAGGGGAGCAUGGAAUUCCUGGUGUAGCGGUGAAAUGCGCAGAUAUCAGGAGGAACACCAGUGGCGAAGGCGGUGCUCUGGGCCGGUACUGACGCUGAGAAGCGAAAGCGUGGGGAGCGAACAGG
rnacentral:rRNA from 1 species